UCCAGACUCCUACGGGAGGCAGCAGUGAGGAAUAUUGGUCAAUGGGCGGGAGCCUGAACCAGCCAAGUCGCGUGAGGGAUGACGGCCCUAUGGGUUGUAAACCUCUUUUGCCGGGGAGCAAAGUGCCGCACGUGUGCGGUUUGGAGAGUACCCGGAGAAAAAGCAUCGGCUAACUCCGUGCCAGCAGCCGCGGUAAUACGGAGGAUGCGAGCGUUAUCCGGAUUUAUUGGGUGUAAAGGGCGUGUAGGCGGGCUGACAAGUCAGAUGUGAAAUUCCGGGGCUCAACCCCGGACCUGCAUUUGAAACUGUUGGUCUUGAGUAUCGGAGAGGCAGGCGGAAUUCCUAGUGUAGCGGUGAAAUGCGUAGAUAUUAGGAGGAACACCAGUGGCGAAGGCGGCCUGCUGGACGACAACUGACGGUGAGGCGCGAAAGCGUGGGGAGCAAACAGGAUUAGAUACCCUGGUACA
rnacentral:rRNA from 1 species